CUGACUGAAUGACAAUUUAUAGAUCAGCUCCUAAGAAACCUUCCAUAAUGAAACGUCUGGGUGUUUUAACCUUCCUCGUGGCCCUUGGCCUGGUACUUGGGAACGACCGAUGUGCUCCGCUAGGUGGCACGUGCCAGCAUGACAGUAAUUCAUGUUCGGGGCGCUAUCGUUCGAGUCUCUGUCCCGGAAGUGCCCGUAUACGCUGCUGCUUGCCUGCCGACAGGUGUGAUCCGCUAGGUGGAACUUGCCAGAAUGACGGCCUGGAUUGUUCGGGCUCUUACCACAAUGGAUUUUGUCCGGGUAGUGCGUCCAACAGAUGCUGUAUGCCAGAAGG